rnacentral:rRNA from 1 species
AGCGAACGCUGGCGGCAGGCCUAACACAUGCAAGUCGAACGAACUCUUCGGAGUUAGUGGCGGACGGGUGAGUAACACGUGGGAACGUGCCUUUAGGUUCGGAAUAACGCAGGGAAACUUGUGCUAAUACCGAAUGUGCCCUUCGGGGGAAAGAGUUAUCGCCUUUAGAGCGGCCCGCGUCUGAUUAGCUAGUUGGUGAGGUAAAGGCUCACCAAGGCGACGAUCAGUAGCUGGUCUGAGAGGAUGAUCAGCCACAUUGGGACUGAGACACGGCCCAAACUCCUACGGGAAGCAGCAGUGGGGAAUCUUGCGCAAUGGGCGAAAGCCUGACGCAGCCAUGCCGCGUGAAUGAUGAAGGUCUUAGGAUUGUAAAAUUCUUUCACCGGGGACGAUAAUGACGGUACCCGGAGAAGAAGCCCCGGCUAACUUCGUG